AAUAUUGGACAAUGGGCGCAAGCCUGAUCCAGCCAUGCCGCGUGAGUGAUGAAGGCCCUAGGGUUGUAAAGCUCUUUCACCGGUGAAGAUAAUGACGGUAACCGGAGAAGAAGCCCCGGCUAACUUCGUGCCAGCAGCCGCGGUAAUACGAAGGGGGCUAGCGUUGUUCGGAUUUACUGGGCGUAAAGCGCACGUAGGCGGGCUAAUAAGUCAGGGGUGAAAUCCCGGGGCUCAACCCCGGAACUGCCUUUGAUACUGUUAGUCUUGAGUAUGGUAGAGGUGAGUGGAAUUCCGAGUGUAGAGGUGAAAUUCGUAGAUAUUCGGAGGAACACCAGUGGCGAAGGCGGCUCACUGGACCAUUACUGACGCUGAGGUGCGAAAGCGUGGGGAGCAAACAGG
rnacentral:rRNA from 1 species